AUCGGGAAGAACACCAGUGGCGAAGGCGCUCUGCUGGGCCAUAACUGACGCUCAUGGACGAAAGCCAGGGGAGCGAAAGGGAUUAGAUACCCCUGUAGUCCUGGCCGUAAACGAUGAACACUAGGUGUCGGGGGAAUCGACCCCCUCGGUGUCGUAGCCAACGCGUUAAGUGUUCCGCCUGGGGAGUACGCACGCAAGUGUGAAACUCAAAGGAAUUGACGGGGGCCCGCACAAGCGGUGGAGUAUGUGGUUUAAUUCGAUGCAACGCGAAGAACCUUACCAGGGUUUGACAUCCUGCGAAUCUCUUGGAAACGAGAGAGUGCCUUCGGGAACGCAGUGACAGGUGGUGCAUGGCUGUCGUCAGCUCGUGUCGUGAGAUGUUGGGUUAAGUCCCGCAACGAGCGCAACCCACGUCGUUAGUUGCCAGCAUUUAGUUGGGCACUCUAGCGAGACCGCCGGUGAUAAACCGGAGGAAGGUGUGGAUGACGUCAAGUCAUCAUGCCCCUUACAUCCUGGGCUACACACGUACUACAAUGCUACGGACAAAGGGCAGCAAACUCGCGAGAGCUAGCAAAUCCCAUAAACCGUGGCUCAGUUCAGAUCGUAGGCUGCAACUCGCCUACGUGAAGGAGGAAUCGCUAGUAAUCGCAGGUCAGCAUACUGCGGUGAAUACGUUCCCGGGCCUUGUACACACCGCCCA
rnacentral:rRNA from 1 species